CAAGCACUUGCACAAAGUAAUCCGGCAUUUUUAAAUAUUGAAAAUAAAACAGGAUUUGCACGUCGAAAUAUCUCUACUUCUCUACUCUCUGUCGCAGCCCUCUAUGGUUCAAUUUAGGUUUCUGCUGAGAUGCGAAAGGCCAAAUAUCAGUGAAAAAGCAGAGGCCAUGGCUUCUCCACAAUUGGUUUCAGAGAGUUCUUGGGGCAAGGCCGGUAAUAAUAAUAAACAUAGUGGCCUUCAAAGCUCCGGAAUGCUCAGUAGAGAUCAGCUUCUUCAACUCUUCAAUCGUUUCUCCUACGUUACCUCCACUCCUGAAGUGAAGAAACGAAUUAAAGAUGCUGUAAACGAUAAAGAGGAAGCUGUCAUGGUAACCACAGCAAUUCAAGAGGAAAUUCUUUCGGAAAUUGGAGUUGAUCCUAGGUUUGGCAUCGCUUGCUUGGGAAAAGUAAAUGCGACUUACCAGAAUGACCGUGAUUUGAUGAUCCAGUUUUAUCGGUUUGCUGUAAAGGAAGAGAUGGCCUGUGAUGAAGCUAAGCUUGAACCUGAUAAGUUUGCUGAGAAAAUACAAUCUCAACAAAAGCUUCAAGAACAGGUUGAUUCUCUGGUCUUUUCCUAUGAGUUCAGAAUUCUAGUGAUACACACUAAGUUAGAAAGUCGUGUUCAAAAUUAUGUCAUUUCAGCAAUUUGAGAUGUUAAAGAAGAUGCGCAAGUUUCCUUGGGAUGACCAGUCUUCAAUGCUAGAGGAGCUGCUGUAUUGACAAUUGAGCAAAUCCAAGAGAUUGCGAGGAGAAGAAGCCGAUGAUGGGGACAGGGUCAAUUUAUUUCCUUAGAUACACCCCAAUAUUCAAGCAUAAGCAUCAUACUAAGUUUCUUGUAUUAUAAGUCUGGUUUUAUCUAUUUUGGUUUCUUGUUUUAUUUAUGCAAACAAAGCAUUUGUUAUUGAAUAACUUGAUGGAAGUAAGGCAUGUUGAUUCAGAUA